rnacentral:lncRNA from 1 species
ACCUGGGGCUUUAAUGCUCCUAGCCGACCCCGCCGCGCAGGUGAAGGGCAGCGCAGAGCUCUCUGCUUGCGGGCUGGGCUAGGCGGCUGCCCGUGCGCCUGCGCCCUCUGCCGCUCCGCUCCGGGCGCUCCUCUGUGCGCGUGUGUCUGUUGAGAGAGGCGGAGAGGCUUGGGUGACAGGCCAGGGGUGGGGGGAAGAGUUCAGCCAGACUCCCAGUCUCAUUCACUGAAUUCUCCGCGGCUGGACCGAAGCUGCCUCCCCAGGCGGCGCCCACCUACUCCCGCACCUCCACGGUCCUCACCUCCCGCCGCUGCACUCAGCCAGACAGACUGACGCACAGGCGAACGAGUUGGCAGCUUCGCGCCGGAGGGUGUCGGAAGCCGAGGCGGCAAGCACCCGGCACCCCUGGCCCGGCCCGGCGGGAUGCGGCGCGGGUAGCAGCGCGGA